GCACGGACAUGUGCACUUGGAUGAGAAACACAGCGAACUGUGGCAGGCAAACGACACUUCAAUAGGUUUGUGAGGCCAUCAGCAACUGAUUGUCCAGAUUCUCCCCAGUCAAGUACUGGUUGAAUUGCUCUAGCUGUCACUUCCAAAAGCUCUAGCUGUGGUAAGGUGCAUGCUUCUCCAUCUACAAGCAUCCCAUCUGUUGCCCGUAAGAGGAGGUCUGGUGCGCUUGCAAGAAUAACCAAAGACUCUGGUGUAUCAUGAUUCCUCAUUACUUCUGCAAUCAAUUUUACAAUACGUUGGUUUAUCCUCCACAUCUUCUGACCAAGAUCAUCAUCUUUGGCAAUCCAUGGUUGCAAUUCCUUGUCCGCCUGAAGAACAAUGGCUGUUGCAGCUUUUGCAGGCAAUGCUGAUACGACGUUGCAUAGUGCGUCAAUGACCUGUCUCCAUCCCUGCUGAGCGGAAGUGCUUUCUGCACUUGGUUGUAUUUCAGGAGAUGCAAUUAACUUGUGCCACAGCAAUGAGACAACAGAAAAACAUAAUUCCUCAUUCUCCGUGAGUACCGACUUUAUAAGAUCUUCAGCAUUGCAAUUGAAUCCUAUAAGCCUGUCCAUUGUCAGAAAGUUCGCCAAAUCUGAAGCAUCUAAAGGGAAACUUGCGAUCCCUUUACCACUGGUGCACUGUGCAGCCUCGCUUGAGUGUAAAACUUUCUCACUCAUAGUUAAAGUUUUACAAUCAGUUGAGUGUUUGCACUCGAGCAAUGAUGACUGUUCUGCAGUUAAGCAGGUGCAAUUGCUAUAUUUAUUAUGUUUUUUCCCAUUCAAGCCCGAGCUUCUUUUCUUAAGAACAGGAACAGGUAUUAGGUGUGCUUCCAAUGGUUCCGCCUUGUCGACAAUUGAUGCAACAACUUUACUAUGGAUAUCAAUGAGGUUAUACAGUGAAGAUGCUCUGGAGAGAAUUUCAUUAUCCCACUUACACCGUAUUAAGACCGAAAGAGCAUGCAUGCAAGCCUUGGAGUGUCUAAACAGAUCAGAAAUAUGAGCAGCUACCAUAGCUGCAGCAACUAUCUCAUUUGAGCUGUAGCUCCAUGAAGUUCCAAUAGAUGAUGGUUUCAAAGAGAAAAGAGCCUCCAGAAUUGUCAAUAUCCUCCGAGUGUGACAGACAGCAGAAUGAAUCCCAUUUUUUAACUCCAUAGACGAAUCAUUUGCAUGCUUUGCAGCAACCAGGAUGGAUUUUGGAUCCGAAUAAUUACUCCCUCUUGAAAGCAAAGGAAAGAGUUGAAGUUCACAUGAAAGAGCACAGACAGCAGCAAGAACAUAAGAAUCAAAUGCUGAAACAGGUCCUUGUUUUUUCAAUUUCUUGGGAAUUUUUUCUUUCUGCUUUCCACCAACUUCCAGCGAUUCUGAACCCAUUGCACUAACAUGGUGAGGAUCUUUACCUACAGGCCUUCUGCUCCCAUUUGUUUUUGCUUCAUGGGUGACACAUACAGUUAAUACAACAAAAAGAAGCCGAGAAGCAAGCUCUACAGAAGCACACGACUCCAAGAACAAUGAAUGAACCAUUGUUCGCAAUUCUGCCACAGCAAGGUUUUUGGAGGCAGGUCCAAACAUGUUGUAUCUGUUUCUUCUGAUUUCCUCUCUAGAGGACUCAGAUGGGAAUGUUCUCUGAAGAAUUGCUUCUACUGUGGCCACAAAUAUUUUCAUGAGGCAAGUUUCAGAUGGGCUCCCACGAGGAAGAUACUCAAGAACCUUUAGUAGUGGCAUAUACAGGUUCCAUGAUAAAAUAGGUGGUAGCAGAGGGGUGGCAACUAUAAUUUCAGGUAGAUCAACAGCUGAUGAAGUCAAAGGAAUCAAGCCAUAAGCAGCUUCCCAUAUGGUACAUAUUCUCCAUUCAACCUCCGGA
rnacentral:misc_RNA from 1 species